rnacentral:tRNA from 1 species
GACCCUGUAACUCAGUUGGUUAGAGUGUGGAGCUAAUACUAUCGUGUUACUCCAAAGUCGCCAGUUCGAGCCUGGUCAGGGUCA